GACGUAGGGCGCGAGCGUUGUCCGGAUUUAUUGGGCGUAAAGAGCUCGUAGGCGGCUUGUCGCGUCGAAUGUGAAAUCUCAGGGCUCAACUCUGACAUUGCAUUCGAUACGGGCAGGCUCGAGUUCGGUAGGGGGAGACUGGAAUUCCUGGUGUAGCGGUGAAAUGCGCAGAUAUCAGGAGGAACACCGGUGGCGAAGGCGGGUCUCUGGGCCGAUACUGACGCUGAGGAGCGAAAGCGUGGGGAGCGAACAGG
rnacentral:rRNA from 1 species